rnacentral:rRNA from 1 species
CCCUUAGAUGUUCUGGGCCGCACGCGCGCUACACUGUUCGACGCAGCGAGUCUUAACCUUGACCGAAAGGUUUGGGUAAUCUUCAGCAAAGUCGAACGUGAUGGGGAUCGAUCAUUGCAAUUAUUGAUCGUGAACGAGGAAUUCCUAGUAAGUGCAAGUCAUCAGCUUGCGCUGAUUACGUCCCUGCCCUUUGUACACACCGCCCGUCGCUACUACCGAUUGAAUGGUUUAGUGAGAUCUCUGGAUUGACGCUGGCUAGGGGGCGACCCUUGGCCAGACUGUUGAGAAACUGCUCAAACUUGAUCAUUUAGAGGAAGUAAAAGGCGUAACA